rnacentral:lncRNA from 1 species
AAACGGGUGGGCUAUAGCCUUGGUGGGGGGCGUGGGCGAAGUUCGUCCGCGGGACUCGGAAUGGCCCCAACCUUGGCGGGCAGCCUCCGUGUGCCAAAAAUAGGCCACGGGCACAGCCGCGCCCAAAAAUCAGCCCCCGAAGGUCGGGGUCACAAGACCCCCCAGCGGAAAAAUGGCCAAGAAACGCAUGGGCUAUAGCCUUGGUGGGGGGCGUGGGCGAAGUUCGUCCGCGGGACUCGGAAUGGCCCCAGAUUUGGCGGGCGCCCUCCGUGUGCCAAAAAUAGGCCACGGGCACAGCCGCGCCCAAAAAUCAGCCCCCGAAGGUCGGGGUCCCAAGACCCCCCAGCGGAAAAAUGGCCAAGAAACGCGUGGGCUAUAGCCUUGGUGGGGGGCGUGGGCGAAGUUCGUCCGCGGGACUCGGAAUGGCCCCAGACUUGGCGGGCGGCCUCCGUGUGCCAAAAAUAGGCCACGGGCACAGCCGCGCCCAAAAAUCAGCCCCCGAAGGUCGGGGUCACAAGACCCCCCAGCGGAAAAAUGGCCAAGAAACGGGUGGGCUAUAGCCUUGGUGGGGGGCGUGGGCGAAGUUCGUCCGCGGGACUCGGAAUGGCCCCAGACUUGGCGGGCGGCCUCCGUGUGCCAAAAAUAGGCCACGGGCACAGCCGCGCCCAAAAAUCAGCCCCCGAAGGUCGGGGUCCCAAGACCUCCCAGCGGAAAAAUGGCCAAGAAACGCGUGGGCUAUAGCCUUGGUGGGGGGCGUGGGCGAAGUUCGUCCGCGGGACUCGGAAUGGCCCCAGACUUGGCGGGCGGCCUCCGUGUGCCAAAAAUAGGCCACGGGCACAGCCGCGCCCAAAAAUCAGCUCCCGAAGGUCGGGGUCCCAAGACCCCCCAGCGGAAAAAUGGCCAAGAAACGGGUGGGCUAUAGCCUUGGUGGGAGGCGUGGGCGAAGUUCGUCCGCGGGACUCGGAAUGGCCCCAGACUUGGCGGGCGGCCUCCGUGUGCCAAAAAUAGGCCACGGGCACUGCCGCGCCCAAAAAUCAGCCCCCGAAGGUCGGGGUCCCAAGACCCCCCAGCGGAAAAAAGGCCAAGAAACGCGUGGGCUAUAGCCUUGGUUGGGGGCGUGGGCGAAGUUCGUCCGCGGGACUCGGAAUGGCCCCAGACUUGGCGGGCGGCCUCCGUGUGCCAAAAAUAGGCCACGGGCACAGCCGCGCCCAAAAAUCAGCCCCCGAAGGUCGGGGUCCCAAGACCCCCCAGCGGAAAAAUGGCCAAGAAACGGGUGGGCUAUAGCCUUGGUGGGGGGCGUGGGCGAAGUUCGUCCGCGGGACUCGGAAUGGCCCCAGACUUGGCGGGCGGCCUCCGUGUGCCAAAAAUAGGCCACGGGCACAGCCGCGCCCAAAAAUCAGCCCCCGAAGGUCGGGGUCCCAAGACCCCCCAGCGGAAAAAUGGCCAAGAAACGGGUGGGCUAUAGCCUUGGUGGGGGGCGUGGGCGAAGUUCGUCCGCGGGACUCGGAAUGGCCCCAGACUUGGCGGGCGGCCUCCGUGUGCCAAAAAUAGGCCACGGGCACAGCCGCGCCCAAAAAUCAGCCCCCGAAGGUCGGGAUCCCAAGACCCCCCAGCGGAAAAAAGGCCAAGAAACGUGUGGGCUAUAGCCUUGGUGGGGGGCGUGGGCGAAGUUCGUCCGCGGGACUCGGAAUGGCCCCAGACUUGGCGGGCGGCCUCCGUGUGCCAAAAAUAGGCCACGGGCACAGCCGCGCCCAAAAAUCAGCCCCCGAAGGUCGGGGUCACAAGACCCCCCAGCGGAAAAAAGGCCAAGAAACGCGUGGGCUAUAGCCUUGGUGGGGGGCGUGGGCGAAGUUCGUCCGCGGGACUCGGAAUGGCACCAUACUUGCCGGGCGGCCUCCGUGUGCUAAAAAUAGGCCACGGGCACAGCCGCGCCCAAAAAUCAGCCCCCGAAGGUCGGGGUCCCAAGACCCCCCAGCGGAAAAAUGGCCAAAAAACGGGCGGGCUAUU